rnacentral:lncRNA from 1 species
GUUUCACCAUGUUGGCCAGGAUGGUCUUCAUCUUCUGACUUCGUGAUCUACCAGCCUCGGCCUCCCAAAGUGCUGGGAUUACAGGCACCAUGCUGAAGAGCUGCCCUGUGUUCUUAAGCAUAGAGAAGCUGUGAUGUGCCUAGGGGAGAAAAUGUGUAUUAGAGAAGCUUCCAUCACAUGUGAGUUAUGGUGCUGUUGACUGAGGUUCCCUGUUAACGAAUCAACUGCCCAUCCAGAAAGAGGAGAGGAAGUGUGCCGAUCUGUACAUGGAGCUGAUUGGAAAGUGUGUUGUGUUUUGCUGGGACACAAUGGUUUGGGAUUCGCUAAUUCAGUGUUCGAAGAGACUACAAAGCAUGACUCCCCCAGAUCCAAGAAUCGACUGUAUAAGCCGUAGAUCUAGCUCCUGGAUUGUGUGGCAUUCUUAGAAAGCCCUCCCGCUUGGAUCCUCUAGGAAAUGACUUUGUCUCAUCAUCUUCUUCUUCGUCUCCUAAUCCUGGGCUCCGUGCCCCUCGUCUGGGCAGCUUCCCGGCUAUCCCGGGUGGAUGAUGCCUCCCACAUGGUCUGUCACAUGCUACAGUCAUUUUCCAAGGCGAGCACUGGGCCAUGUGCACAGCAGGCCGUUUGCUAGCGGCCUCACGUCUUCCCCGGGCACACCUUCAGUCUGAAUGAGCCAGGCACUUCCAGGGACAGGCA